GUGGAUAUAGCUCAGUGGUAGAGUGCAUGCUUAGCAUGCACCAGGUCCUAGGUUCAAUCCCCAGUACCUCCA
rnacentral:tRNA from 1 species